CAGGUAGGCGGCUCAAUAAGUUCUGGGUGAAAUCCUUCCGCUUAACGGAAGAACUGCCUGGAAAACUAUUGGGAUUGAGACUAGGAGAGGAGAGCGGAAUUCCCGGUGUAAGGUUGAAAUCUGUAGAUAUCGGGAGGAACACCAGUAGCGAAGGCGGCUCUCUGGCCUAGAUCUGACGCUGAGCUGCGAAAGCUAGGGGAGCAAACA
rnacentral:rRNA from 1 species